rnacentral:tRNA from 1 species
AAUGAAGUGUCUGAAUAUAGAGUUAUUUUGAUAGAAUAAAACAUGUGAAACUCUUCACCUUCAUU